rnacentral:tRNA from 1 species
AUUUAAAUAGUUUAUUAAAAAUAUUGAUUUGUGGAGUCGAAGAUAUGAUCAUUAAAGUCAUUUUAAAUC